ACACUUACCGUUGGAGCCACGUAAAAAUUCAUCAAUUCUAACCUCGAAGUGAUGGGAGAUUGGAAUUGUGAAUAUUUUCCGAUUUAAUAUUAAUAACAGACGUAAUAAUGGACAUGGAUGAAGUUGCGAAACUGGAGCAUUUGUCUCUUGUUUCAAAAAUAUGCACAGAAUUAGAGAACCAUUUAGGCUUAAAUGAUAAGGAUUUGGCUGAAUUUAUUGUUGACCUGGCAGAAAAGAAUAACAGUUUGGAGUCGUUCAAAAAAGUUCUCAUCGAAAAUGGGGCAGAAUUCUCGGACUCCUUCAUGGCAAAUCUUCUCAGGAUUAUACAACACAUGAAACCGUCGAAACAGUUGAAUGAAAAAUCUCACGGUUCAAACCACAGACAGGAUGACUUGUCGCUAAAGUUCCCCGGCCUGGCUAUACCAAACGAGCAUAAGAAACUCCAGCCUAUCAAAGAGGAGAAGGAUGAAGAUGUGGUUAAUGACACCAUGGCUGCGCUAGAAGCCCUCGCUCCUUCAGGUUCAAAAACUCAACCCAAUUCAAAAAAAGACCAAGAAGGACCUGUAGUUGAACCCCCUAAUGACAAAAAAGACAAAGAUAGAGAUAGGAGAAAAAACAGAUCGAUAGAUCGCAAGCGGGACAGAUCAACAUCACGUAAUCAUAGAGAUAGAAAACACAGAUCACGAUCACGUGAUCGGUCUAGAUCUAGAGACAGAAAUCGGAAUCGAAGACGUCAUGGAUCAAGAGAUCGAAAGAGGUCUAGAUCAAGAGACGCACGUUCAAGAUCCAGAAACAGACGUUCCAGAUCACGUGAUCGCAAGAACUAUAAACGCAACAAACGGCAUGAAACUGACCGCUCAAGAUCACGUUCUGUAGAAGAACUUGCAGUUGAUCCCGAAGUCGGAAAAAUUUAUACUGGAAAAGUUGCAAAUAUUGUUCAGUUUGGGUGUUUUGUGCAACUAGAAGGUUUAAAGCGCAGAUGGGAGGGUUUGGUUCAUAUUUCACAACUUCGGCGUGAAGGUCGUGUUGCCAGUGCCAGUGACAUUGUUUCAAGAGGCCAAAAAGUUUUGGUCAAAGUACUGAGUGUAGCUGCUCAAAAGGUUUCUCUAAGCAUGAAAGAUGUUGACCAAGAGACUGGACGGGACUUGAAUCCAGUUGUGAGCAUUUCCAAGGCAGACGAGGAUGAAAAACAUUUACGAAAUCCUGACAGACCAACAUCUUUGCUAGAACUGCAAGGACAUUUAGAUGAGGACGAAACAUAUUCCAGGAAACGUGUGCAAAGAUUAUCCUCCCCUGAAAAAUGGGAAAUAAAACAAAUGAUGUCAGCAGCUUGUAUCGAGAGGAGUGAACUUCCAGAAUUCGAUAUUGAAACUGGAAUCUUGCCUCGUGAAGAUGAUGAAGAAGAAGAUGUUGAAAUUGAAUUGGUAGAAGAGGAACCACCAUUUUUACAUGGGCAUGGUAGAGCUCUUGGUGAUUUGAGUCCUGUUCGGAUUGUAAAGAAUCCUGAUGGAUCGUUGGCACAGGCUGCUAUGAUGCAAAGCGCUCUGGCAAAAGAGAGACGAGAACAGAAAAUGCUGCAAAGAGAGCAAGAAAUGGAUUCAAUACCUGCAGGACUGAACAAAAAUUGGAUUGAUCCUUUACCUGAUGCGGAAAGUCGGACUUUAGCUGCAAACAUGCGUGGCAUAGGAUUACAGACACAAGACCUCCCCGAAUGGAAAAAACACGUCAUUGGUGGUAAAAAAUCGUCAUUUGGUAAGAAAACCAACUUAACACUGUUGGAACAGAGACAGAGCUUACCAAUUUACAAGCUCAGAGACGAACUGGUGAAAGCAGUAACAGAUAAUCAAAUUCUUAUCGUCAUUGGCGAAACCGGAUCUGGUAAAACAACACAAAUUACUCAAUAUCUUGCGGAAGCUGGUUUCACAUCACGAGGUAAAAUAGGAUGCACGCAGCCGAGAAGAGUAGCGGCAAUGUCUGUUGCUAAAAGAGUUGCCGAGGAAUUUGGUUGUAGAUUAGGACAGGAAGUCGGAUAUACAAUACGUUUUGAAGACUGCACUAGCCCUGAAACCAGCAUAAAGUACAUGACAGAUGGUAUGUUACUCCGAGAGUGCCUCAUGGACCUUGAUUUGAAAAUGUAUUCUGUUAUAAUGUUGGACGAGGCACAUGAGCGUACUAUCCACACAGACGUACUCUUUGGUUUAUUGAAACAAGCUGUAGGUCGACGGCCAGAUUUGAAGCUCAUCGUCACUAGUGCUACUCUCGAUGCUGUUAAGUUUUCACAAUACUUCUUUGAAGCACCGAUAUUUACAAUUCCUGGGCGGACAUUUCCUGUUGAAGUGAUGUACACAAAAGAACCAGAGACAGAUUAUUUAGAUGCUGCUUUAAUAACUGUGAUGCAGAUUCACUUACGCGAACCGCCUGGAGAUGUUUUGUUAUUUUUAACUGGGCAGGAAGAAAUUGAUACUGCUUGUGAAAUUUUAUAUGAAAGAAUGAAAUCUCUCGGCCCAGAUGUGCCAGAGUUGAUCAUUUUACCAGUUUACUCUGCACUACCCUCCGAAAUGCAAACAAGAAUAUUUGAACCUGCCCCACCUGGAUCCAGAAAAGUUGUUAUAGCGACAAAUAUUGCGGAAACGAGCCUCACGAUCGAUGGUAUAUACUACGUCGUUGAUCCGGGUUUUGUUAAGCAAAAAGUGUAUAAUUCUAAGACUGGAAUGGACAGUCUUAUUGUCACGCCCAUUAGUCAAGCAGCUGCUAAACAGAGAGCUGGCAGAGCUGGGAGGACCGGUCCUGGAAAAUGUUAUAGAUUAUACACAGAAAGAGCUUACAGGGAUGAAAUGUUGCCAACACCAGUGCCCGAAAUUCAGCGAACGAAUUUAGCAACGACAGUUUUACAGUUAAAAACCAUGGGAAUUAAUGAUCUCUUACACUUUGACUUCAUGGAUGCCCCACCUGUUGAAUCUUUGAUUAUGGCAUUAGAAUCCUUGCACAGCUUGAGUGCUCUUGACAAUGAAGGGUUAUUGACAAGACUGGGAAGGCGGAUGGCUGAAUUUCCACUAGAACCGAAUUUAUCCAAAAUGCUAAUUAUGAGCGUCCACUUGCAAUGCUCAGACGAAAUUCUUACCAUUGUCAGCAUGCUUUCAGUACAGAACGUUUUCUACAGACCAAAAGAUAAACAAGCACUUGCAGACCAAAAGAAGGCAAAGUUCAACCAGGCAGAAGGCGAUCAUUUGACAUUAUUAGCAGUGUACAAUUCCUGGCGAAAUAAUAAAUUCAGUAAUGCUUGGUGCUACGAAAAUUUCGUACAAAUAAGGACUCUGAAAAGAGCUCAAGAUGUUCGCAAACAGCUGCUAGGUAUAAUGGACAGGCACAAAUUGGAUGUGGUGUCUGCUGCAAAAAAUACAGUGAGAGUACAAAAAACUGUAUGUUCUGGAUUCUUCAGAAACGCGGCGAAAAAAGAUCCUCAAGAAGGAUACAGAACACUAGUUGAUAGCCAAGUUGUUUACAUUCAUCCAAGUAGCGCGUUAUUCAAUCGGCAACCUGAAUGGGUGAUUUACCACGAACUUGUCCAAACGACAAAAGAAUAUAUGCGAGAGGUUACGACGAUUGAUCCGAAGUGGCUGGUCGAAUUUGCACCGGCAUUUUUCAAAUUCAGUGAUCCUACGAAAUUGAGUAAAUUCAAGAAGAAUCAACGAUUAGAACCAUUAUACAACAAAUACGAAGAACCUAAUGCAUGGCGUAUAUCCAGAGUUCGACGGCGUAGAAAUUAGACUGAAUAUUCAUAUCUUGAAGCUAUCAAUCAUACAUAUUAUGUUCUCAUCUUGAAAUGUUACCAUUGCUGCAAUAAACCACAAACGGUUUGUCUCCAUUGCUUGAUGAAGUUAACUUUGUGAGAAACACAACGGAUUGGGACAUGUUGAUUCAAAUAAUGGGAAGAGUAUAAAACUUUCAAGUCAUUCUCAAUUUUUGUGAUAAAUUGAUGGUAUCCAAUCAGCCCUGGAUAAUUUUAUGUACAGGACACAUAAGAAAAUAUGUGUCAUUAACAGGAUAAGAUUAUACAUGGACAAAUCAAAAUAAAUUUACCUAUUGUGUAUGUGUUGUAUAAA
rnacentral:misc_RNA from 1 species